rnacentral:lncRNA from 1 species
GUGUAUAUUCACACAUACACACUGACUAAUAAUAAUAAUUAUUAUAUAUGUAUAUAUAUACUGACGUGUGCGCGGCUAAAGGUUGAUGGUGAUUGACGCGACUUUACUCAAUAAUUACUGCUUUAUUAAGCAUUAUAGAAAAAAAUGGUUCAGAAUUUUUUGACUCAAAUUUCUAUAAGGAAUAACGCUAUGUACUUAGUGGACGCUUUUUAAGUUACACCCUGUAUAUACUUCAAGAUAUUAUAUUCUUAUCUUAUAUAAUAAGAAAUAUUGUAUACACAUACGCAAGCACGCGCAUGUAUGUGUAUGUAUAUUAAAAAAGUAUCGUGUACAUACCCCCAUUUUACAAAGUAGUUAUACAUGGCCUUCGUAUUCGUAUUCGUCACUGUCUGUGAGCAAAGUAACUAUAACCCUGUUCUCUCGGACACUAAUCUUGGAAAGAACUGUCUUAAAAGAUUUCUCUCCUAAAAACUCGAACUAUGUAGCAACAGAGCCAAUGAAAUUCUCGCUUGUAUCGCUCCUUGCUCCGCCCUCUUCCCCUAUUUUUCUUUUCUUUCAACCGUAUCCACGUGUUCCGUUCGUCUUUUUUAAAUUUCAACAAUAUCUGUAAUAAUAUUGUCUCUCUCCACCUCUUUAAUUUUCCUUAUUUUGUUAUUUCGGUUUUUUAGAAGAAAACAAUAGGCGCAUAGAAAAAGCAAACACAUUGAAAAGACAAAUACUUAUACCUGAAGACACAAGUCGGAAUGUAACAGUAUGUAAAUCGAUAUAUGUAUCCAGCUAUACAUUACAUCGAUUUCAUUUUCAUAUAAUUAUCAUAAAAUGCAAUGCUGUUGUUUAAGACACUUCUUAUAGACAAUUUAAUGAGUAGCUAGAGUAUUUUUACGUGACUGUUACACACUCAAAUAUUAUUGAUAAUUUACAGUAUAAUGAAUUUUAAUAUAAUUUUAGUAUAAUGGACAGAAGCUUCCGAACAAACACACCUGAUUAGAAAUAAGUAAUUCUAAGUAUUCUAAUAGUUUGCUAUUACUUGCAAUUUUGGAUACGCAAGUUACUUGAGUAACAUUCAAGAUGAUUGAGUAAGUAACGUAAGUAAAUUUGGGUAACGGGGUAUUGCGACUGAGCAUCUGAAUAUAGAGAUUAUCGAAUCUAUAUGAAUAGGAGAAGAGAGUGGGAGGCACUCAAUUUCAAUUAACUACUACAAGCACAACCAGGUCUACAAAACUAAGCUCGUUUACGCCAGACAAACUUUUCUGCAAGAUACUAUAUACGAAAGAAACAAAAAUAAUUGUCGAAGCGGUGAGCAUCGUGAACAGAGAAACGUGAUGGUGAGCACGUGAAAUUUCUGACACAAAAGCGUCGGAUAGAGAAAUAACAGACAAUGUGGUAAUUGCUAUUAUAAUAAUAUUACAAGUCACUGUGAGAGUGUUGCACCCAUUUCAACUGUUAUCGCCAUUGUUACGAAACUUUAAAAGCAGAUGAUAUAAAGAGCCAAAUAACAAUCUGAUUUAAAUUCACUUUACAAAAUUCAUUCUAAAUUAACUAGAUAUUAUCAAAAAUCAGUUAUACCAGAACAUAAUACCAACCUCAUCAUAAAUUUACAUUAUUCAGAACUAUGGGGUUAUGAAUUUUUAGAUAAAUUUAACAUGUCUAGCAAGUAGAUGAAUUUGAAAUUAAAUUUGUCACACACACACACACAAUUUCAUUCUCUCCAAUUAUACAAAUCGAAAAACUUUCAGAAAAAUUAAUUACAUGAUAAAGCGUUCCAAUAGUAAUGCAAUUUAUAGACGCUAUUAUCGUGACUAUAUACAUGUCGAUCAAAUUGAUCAGCUGACAUAUGUAACGAUUUUACACAUAUCCACCUUACGCGGAAUAUAUGCAGAACGUUUUGUUAUUCCAAGCCAUACAUGCACGAAAUUAGCCUCACGAUUCGAUUGCCAGUUCGCGAUCUGUUGGUUGAUCAUAUUAUCUAAUGCACAGGCACGAUUGUUAUUAAAUACCAUAAUGUCUUUGAAUUAAUUUCCCAUCUCAUUUUAGUUAUAAUUGUGAAACAUAACACAUUAUUACGUGGGCGCCAAUAUAAAUUUAAUAUUGUUGUCAUUUAUCUACAUAUUAAUGACUUUUAUAUUCAUUUCCAUACAAUGAUGCUACUGAUAUCGUUGGUAUCUAUUUCUGUAUCCAUUUAUGUAUCGCAUUUCAUCAUUCAUAGUUAUUAUCACUAAUAUUAUAUUUAUUUUAUUUUAUCCUUGUAAUAUCGUUCGCGUAUACUUUAAAGAGAUUUGUGUCAGGACGAAAAUAUUAUAUAUUGAUUGCCAUUUGUAAUUGUGCAAUCUCUCUUCAUUUAGUGAAAAUUUUAUUGACGGAAAACAAUGCGCAUCACUGUUCGCAGAUGGAACAAACGUCUGUGCCAUUUGAUUACGCGACAACAUUGUUGGCUUACGAUGCAUGUUAUUAUGCAACCCAGAACGUGGUCAUAAGUACGAGUAAACGCAAGGAAUCGACACGAAUAAUGAAUGAGAGAAAGGCCAGCCUGUGUACACUUUUGCCAGGGUUCUCCACCAAGAUAAUACCCGUUUAAAACGUGAUAUUGAGAAAAGCUCUUACGAAUGUUCGUAGUUACAUUACAAUUCACAAAAGUAAUAUUUACAAUAACAUGGAAAAUUAAAAUAAAAAUGUUUAGUCGACAAAAGUUUUUCCGGGACUACUUGUGCCAGUAAUCGUAUCACAAUCACAUUGUUCGGCGCUUCAUUGUAAUACAGAGACUUUCGCAGGAGCAAAAUUACGCUCUUCCGCGCUUCGUCAUGUUUUAUCGUGUAUUAUAUUUUGUGCAUCGCGAUGGAACAUUCGUGGGAAUGGUCUAAAGACCGACAAAGAAUUUUCAGGAUCUUUGGACUCGCAAGAGUCCGCUCUCGAUGAAAACCUUUCAUCAUCGAUUUAAUCCGAGAGACUGAUAUUUCGAUUAACAUAAUUGGCCACGAUGACGGUGCUCUUGGAAAUUCUGGAAAUGCAAAUAUAGAGGGCGCCCAUGUAUCCGAUGCAUCACUAUUCAUCAGCAAUGAUGAGGACGGUGUCGCAAGCAAUUUUGGAAAGUUCAAGCCAAGAUUGGAACCGGCACGGAACGCACGCAUGAUCAAUUGCGACCUCGAUGCUGAACAUGUAUGCAAAAAUACAUUUUCCGUAUUUACAGCACCGCGCGACUGUUCGCGAAAGAUGCGUUCACCAGAACUCCAAUCGUCUCGAAUCCGUCCUUUAAACAGUCCCGACAGUUCGCGGGCGGGUUUCAGAGCGAGACGGCUCUGCGAUUGCUCCGCAACGCUACGGGAAUUCGUGCUGAUCUCAUCGCCUCCGCCGAUUCUCACGAUCCAUUGAUGGGCGCGUGAUUACGCGCGGGCAUUACGUGUAGUAUCCCGGUUAGUUCGAUCAAACGAGCGGACACCGAUGCAGCACCGACCUCGAGAACCGAAUCUCACGAUCGGACCUCGAGGUCCGAGUUACUUCUCCCCACGAACGUAACAAAUCAACGGCACUGGGUGUUCCCGGCACGGUCUCGUCCGUGACGUACGAGACCCGUCACUAGCUCCGGCGCCAUCCCGGGAGCGACCACGACCCUGACUGUGGGUUCCCCUCAUCCGUUUUGGCCGUCUUGGCACUCGAUCGUGACACCGAUGUGGGAAGGAGACUCCGACUCGCGCUUGGUGAGAGCACUUUCGGAAAACGCCGUCGAAAAACGCGAACUGUGACGUCGCGCAUCGCUGCGACGAGCGACUCUCCUCGAGGGGAAGGCUUCCUUCCGGAGAACGAUCUCGUCGAAGGAGAAGCAGUUACGCGACUCGGCGCGGACUCGUUGAUGGGCUCUCGGACCCUUUCGAAGCGCAGGAUAAGACCAGGAAUUCGGAGCUCCGUACCUUCGAAAAACUACUCGUUCAGGAAUCCGGAGCUCCGUCUCUUCAAAAAACUACUCGUUCUGUGUCUCCUUCAAGUUGAGUGGAAUGGUCACUUUAUGUACGAAUAAUAUGCAUAAUUCCUGCCUAAACCGAAAAAGUUGCACUUUUAAAAGCCGGACAGAACGUUUCCUGAAAAUGUGUGUCAUUUACGCAAAAAAAAGAGAGAAUAGGAAGAAAAAGAGAGACAUUAUUUAAAUUUAAAUGUACUCCUAAAAUGUGAUCAUCUUUUUAAAGCUGAUACACCAAUAGUUUUUUCCAAAUUCCAUCGACGCUUAAAAUAGAAAGAACACGAAUCCAUUGAAAAAAUGAGUUCAAGGGAGACUGAAAUACAUGAAGAGAUCGGCUUACGUGAAACAGGACGAAAGAGAAGUAAUAAAAGGACGAGCAUUGCGGCAGGAGAAAAACGUCCCGAGGAAAACCGCAGGGACAGCGUACAAAACGGAAAACAGCAACG